UUCCCAACUAGUAAGACCCCUUGAAGACGACGAGGUAGAUAGGUUGGAGGUGGAAGUGCAGCAAUGCAUGGAGCUGACCAAUACUAAUCGGUCGAGGGCUUAUCCAA
rnacentral:rRNA from 1 species